AAAACUUUCAACAACGGAUCUCUUGGUUCCAGCAUCGAUGAAGAACGCAGCGAAAUGCGAUAACUAGUGUGAAUUGCAGAAUUCAGUGAAUCAUCGAGUCUUUGAACGCACAUUGCGCCCCUCGGUAUUCCGGGGGGCAUGCCUGUCCGAGCGUCAUU
rnacentral:rRNA from 1 species